UUUAUUGCCCCGUAGUACCGUGACCCGGAAUCGGGCAACGGUUAAAGCCUUCGGGCGGUAUAAGAUGGCCAUGCGUCCCAUUAGCUUGUUGGUAAGGUAACGGCUUACCAAGGCUACGAUGGGUAGGGGCCCUGAGAGGGGGAUCCCCCACACUGGUACUGAGACACGGACCAGACUCCUACGGGAGGCAGCAGUGAGGAAUAUUGGACAAUGGAGGAGACUCUGAUCCAGCCAUGCCGCGUGCAGGAAGAAUGCCCUAUGGGUAGUAAACUGCUUUUAUACGGGAAGAAAAAAGAGUACGUGUACUCUACUGACGGUACCGUAAGAAUAAGGACCGGCUAACUCCGUGCCAGCAGCCGCGGUAAUACGGAGGGUCCGAGCGUUAUCCGGAAUUAUUGGGUUUAAAGGGUCCGUAGGCGGGCCGAUAAGUCAGGGGUGAAAGUUUGCAGCUCAACUGUAAAAUUGCCUUUGAUACUGUUGGUCUUGAGUUAUAGUGAAGUUGCCGGAAUAUGUAGUGUAGCGGUGAAAUGCAUAGAUAUUACAUAGAACACCGAUUGCGAAGGCAGGUGACUAACUAUAUACUGACGCUGAUGGACGAAAGCGUGGGGAGCGAACAGGAUUAGAUACCCUGGUAGUCCACGCCGUAAACGAUGGAUACUAGCUGUCCGAGGCCUUGAGUCUUGGGCGGCCAAGCGAAAGUGAUAAGUAUCCCACCUGGGGAGUACGUUCGCAAGAAUGAAAC
rnacentral:rRNA from 1 species